UUUCUCAUUUUGUUAUGGACUUAGGAUAAGACCUGAGAAGAGAGAAGAGAACCCGCAGUCUUUACUUUCAAUUUAAAUAUUCGUUUGAGAGUAAUAACCACACAUUCAUCAUGUGAGUUUCCUUGAGUUGGUAGCAUAGAGAAAUUCAGUUGAACAAAUAUUUAAAGAUUUUUUUGUGUUGUAUAAUGCGGUAUUUAAACUUAUUCUCCUUUGAAGAGACUAAUAUGCAGUCUGUUUUGCAGGUUAAAAGGCAUGAGGAUGGCUGAGCAAGAAAUUGGCCAUGCUCACAACAGCUUCUUGACCCUCUGGAAGCUGGGAAUGAACACAAGAAAGUGCUUCAGAAUACAAAGCCCUGUUAGCCAGUUAUGGUAGGCAGGAGCCGCAGUAAGGCCUGUGCCUCCCUUUCAAAUAGCAU
rnacentral:lncRNA from 1 species